rnacentral:rRNA from 1 species
ACGCUCGACACCUACGGGGCAGCAGUCGGGAAUAUUGCGCAAUGGAGGAAACUCUGACGCAGUGACGCCGCGUAUGGGAAGAAGGUUUUCGGAUUGUAAACCAUUUUAGACAAGGAAGAAACAAGACAGUACUUGUAGAAUAAGCUCCGGCUAACUACGUGCCAGCAGCCGCGGUAAUCUGAGCGGGCUGGCAAGGC